CAUUACCAUACAGUGUAUGCUCACUACGCACGUGAGGGGAGGAAAGUUUGUGUACCUUUCAUACAAACAUCCCUGUUUCAGAUGGGAUGGUGUUUGACAGAUAUGGAGUCUGGAGAGCAGCUGGCACCCCCUCCCCUGCAGCCUCUUCCUCCUCCUCCUCUUCCUCUUUUCCAUCCCUUGCUACCCACUCUUAAGUGGGACCUGGCUCCAAGACCCUGAGCACUGGGAUCUGCCCUCAGGUCCUCUGUUGCUUUGUUUCUCAGAAUGCUGAAGUGAUUCUGUCUUGUUGGUUGAAGAAUGGAGUUGAUGCAGUUCUGAACACAUCAUCUGUCCAUCCCAUCCAUCCCUGCUAUUCUUGUAUGAAGUGCUUUACAGCUGCUUUAAGCUGUGUAUUAUAGAUGUAUAAGAUGUAUACACUGUAUUGUUCUGCGUAAGUUGUAAUCUUUAUUAUUACAUUUAGUAGUGGAUGUCCCAUAUAUAUCUAGAUUUUUAUAGUAACACAGUUAAAGAAAUGCAUUGAUCUGCAAAUAGAAACUGUUGUCAAAAGUCAAUCAAAGUAUAAUAACAUGUAUAAUAGUUUUUAUGCUUUAUCAGAGGUGAUGUCAUGUUCAAGUCAGUUCUUUGCUAAUUCAUUUUACUCCAGUUAUUCUACAGAUGCUACACCUUUACAUGGGUGGUGGAAUUUUCUUCAAGUUCAUGUCACAGACAAAUUGGCAGAGGAGGAAAGAACAGACGACAAUUGUAUAAAUAAUAUAUAAAUAUUAGUUACGGUGGCUACGUUAGGUUUUCUGCAGACUGUUUGCAACAGCGCCACCCAUGGAAGGAGGACUUACCAGAAACAACAGGGUAUUGGCAAUGGCAGCAUAAGAGGAAAGACAACAAUAUUUCCCUGUAUCCUAUUCAUAUCUACAGUUAUUUAUCUACAGAUACAGCACAGUUAUUGUACAUGUAGUUAUAGGGUUCGUAAUAUAUACAUGGAGAAUUCAUUUUGAACAUUAAUAACUCAGAGAAGUAACUAAAAAACCAUCCCCAGACUCCUGUAACUUGAAAGGAGCAGAUUCACUGAGAACUCUUGUAGAGUUUUUAAUGACUUUUAUUGAGUUUCUUUUCAUUUGGUAAGACUGUACAGUGCAUUUACUCCAUACAUUCCAGAUGGAAAAAUUGAACCUUGUAUUCCACUUUUAUUUACUAAAAGUCUUCCAACAGUUCAGGGAUUAUGAUCUCUUACAGAGAAGGCUUUAAUUGUGGAACACAUACAGGAAGUUUAAAAAAGAACAGCUUAACAAGAAAGUGGAGUGGAUGAGGGUGCAUGAAAAAGGACAAGUGUAGAGAUGCUCAUCGCACCAAAAUAUAAUUUCUACAACAUAAGACAAUGUCCUUUUAUGUGAACACACAAUAAGUGACAGUAAUGCUGUGCUUUUAUUUCACAUCAAAAGCUAUGCUUUUUUCCUAAAGAUUAAAGCUGUGAACAUGUGGCAUGUAAUAAAAUCUGAAAACAGAACAAUUUAUUCAAAACUAAACAUAUUGUUUAAAGUAUGUUUACUUCAAAGUGCCACCAACAGAGAGGAUCCCAGCCACCCAACCUCCUCUCCACCAUGACAACCUGGAAAGAGGACACACUACACAAACACACAAGAGAAAAAUCAACAAGCACACUACUCAUACGUGUAGAACAAGGAAACAAACCCAACAUGAACACAAGGAGGAAAGAGAGAGACAAGGAAGAGAAUUGCACUCCUGUAGAUCCAGAUCUAUAAUAACUACAUAUCAUGAUUUUAUCCUAACAAGUUAAAGACACAUUUGGAGGAGAAUGAAAAUCUUAAGGACAUUUUCUGUGUGUUACAGAGUAUAACUAGAAGUAAUGCUUCAAUAUGUCUUUUUCCUAUUUGUAAACUGAGUUUAAAGUCAAUCAUUUAGAUUAUUUGCACUGACUCAUCUAAAAAAAUAUACAUGUGAAUCAUUUUUUUAGGCUAUUUUGUUUUAUUAGGGCCAAUUUAAGAGUGUGGGAAGAAACCGGAGCACCCGGAGAAAACCACAUAUACGGGGGGGUUAAACUUUACCAUGCCUGUGACAAUGUGAAGAUUCCCAGUUAUCCAGAUCAUGGUAUUUCUAAGUGCCAUUCAAAGGCAUCUGGACUCGGUUCUUGAAGACAUUUCAUGACUCAAGAAGCCUUUGUAUAGCACAUAGAUCCAUAAUGUUGCCCUAUUUUUGUAUGCUGAAGCUUUUGUUGUCAUUUGGGGGAAAUUGUGUUGAUUCAGGGGUUAUUGGGACUCUGCUAACCCAGGCCCAUGGGUGAGGGAUUUACUUUUAAUGUUUUCAGUGGUGGGCCUGAGAACAGCUACUAUUCAGUUAUUCCUGACACAAUGUCAAACAAAUCUUGUAUCCUUUCUUAUUUAACGGUAAGAACAGCUGCAUUUGUUUGUUGCGCUUUGGAAAAAACACAUGCAAUUCAUCUCGGUCAAGAGGGCGCACCUGCAAUAAGCAUGGAUAGCGUACGAAGAUGUGUGAUGGGCCGAGCAUGAAAAACUUCAAGCAGUGUGUCUCUGGUAUUACUUUCUUUGGUUCAUGGGAGCCGUAAAUGUUAUAUUUAGCAUAGCCUGGGGCAGUGGGAGAACUAGGUGCCAUUCUAGUUUGGGUCCUGGACAAACGAGCUGCAGCACAGUUGAAGGCAGCAAGAGAAGCUCCAAUGCUCAGAUAUAGAAACAGACUUCUCUCUGGCAGUAGGUCAUGGACCCAGAAAAUAUAAACUUUACUAUAUUCAAUGGUCUCAGAAAAAACAACUGCAAUCUUUUCUCUCACCGUGGUCAAGGAAGAUGGUUGGUUUAAACCAGCUGCAGUUUCACCUGAGGAUGAACCUGUUGAAGUUUCUCCCAACAAUUUGUGAGCUCUCUUUGUUUGAGAACCACAGAAAAGUUGAGAUUGAGGGAGAACAAGAGAAGGAAGCUUCUCACUGUUGACAUCCCUCCUGUGAAUCACAGUAGGGCUGGAGACACAUGAGACAUCCUGCUCUUGUUCACUUUGAUGAGUUUCAUUACGCAAACAGUCCAAGCCUAUGGAACAGCUGCCAGGUUUCUGAUGCAGCAGCCUUAGAUCUCUGUAGUUUCUGGCCUUUAAGUCUGUCUGGUCUGGUGGUGGUACACACUUAUCUGAAGGCACACCUUCUGCUUGGUUAAUGCUGGAUGAAUUGGUAGGAUUAAGUCCCAGGCCAGACAAGAUGAGGCGACCAAAACCCACGGUUGUCAUGUUGGCUGAUAGAGGGCACUGAAUUAAGAUAAAAGAAUUUCUUCUGUUUUCCAAAUAUCUGUCAGGUUUUCCAAGACUCUGCAAACGUUGAAGAGAAGUUGAUGAAUUCUUCUCUGUAUCCUUCCAGUAACUCGGACUUCACCGGAGCCGGUGAUGAAAAGAGGUGUAAGGAACCGAAAACGGUCUGUUUAUAACUUCGCACAUCAAAGGAAUGUUACGUCAUAGUGACAUAGAAUGGUAAUGGAAUCAUGCCCGUGUGACGUCAGGAGUGUUCCUGGCACCUAAAAAAAAAAAAAAGUAAUUCGCUUCGUCGUUUUAAACAGUGACGUCGUUUCCGGUCGCAUUGGCGCCUGACUGUGUGUCAAAUCCUCUGUGCAUCGGUUUGGAGAAGAAACAUAAAGUUGUUCACAAUGAAUUCUCCAUGUAUAUAUUACAAACCCUAUAACUACAUGUACAAUAACUGUGCUGUAUCUGUAGAUAAAUAACUGUAGAUAUGAAUAGGAUACAGGGAAAUGUUGUUGUCUUUCCUCUUAUGCUGCUAUUGCCAAUACCCUGUUGUUUCUGGUAAGUCCUCCUUCCAUGGGUGGCGCUGUUGCAAACAGUCUGCAGAAAACCUAACGUAGCCACCGUAACUCACCAGGACCUUCCACUGUGUGAAUACUGGCCCAUGAGCUCGGUGUGCAGCUCCGGUCCAGUUGCUGACAUCCACACUGCACCUGCAUCAUCUCCUCUCGGUUUGCACAUUCAACACCCCCACAGCUCACCACACACAUCCCACUGCUCUGAGGGCAAACGCUGCUGAUUUUCACCCAUUUUCACGUUGUUCAUUUCUGUUACUAAGUAAAUUUCAUUGAAGUGAAUCUCGCGUGGACUCUCUCCAUUUCACAGUUCGAGUCAGUUUGUGACACACCACUGUAUGUCAUAACAUUACAUCCUCAGUAUUACAUUGCGUGUAUUAUACUACCCAUCAAGUGUCAUUUCUAUCAUAAAGUAGAUUAUACAUUUUAAACAUACAGUAUGUGAGGAUACAACCUCCCCUCAUGUUCACAGUAUUGUCGUCUGCAUUAUUUUCCAAAUGUGAAAUGGUAAAAGACAAAAAAAGAAAGAAAAAUUAAUUAAUAAAAUAAAAUGUCAAUGUUGCAUAGAAGUUCAGCAGUUCAAUAUCACAUUAAGAAACACACACAUUAAUAUGAACAUUAAGUUCAGACAAAGAAUUUGAUUAUACUUGAUCCCUUAUCUCUCACACACUUAACACCUGUGCCUGCAGAAAUCAUCAAAACUAAAAGUGAAUCCUUUUUGUGAAAGUUUUUCAUCCUUUUGGUUGCUUCCACAUGUAAUAGCAAGAUCUGAAUGAAUAAAAUUGUAUUUUCAUUGUAUCAUCAUUCAUCUUGUGUAUUGUGCUGUAAGGAGUGGGAGGUAAGAUUUACCUGUGUCCAUGGUAUCACUGUUAGCAACACAGAAUAAAAGCACUCUAUUCAGGGGUCAGAACUGUCAAAAUGUUAUGGCAAUUUAAGCCAGACCAAUCAAUAAGAAAAUGCAGC